rnacentral:rRNA from 1 species
UUCGGGAACUGUGAGACAGGUGCUGCAUGGCUGUCGUCAGCUCGUGUUGUGAAAUGUUGGGUUAAGUCCCGCAACGAGCGCAACCCUUAUCCUUUGUUGCCAGCGGUCCGGCCGGGAACUCAAAGGAGACUGCCAGUGAUAAACUGGAGGAAGGUGGGGAUGACGUCAAGUCAUCAUGGCCCUUACGACCAGGGCUACACACGUGCUACAAUGGCGCAUACAAAGAGAAGCGACCUCGCGAGAGCAAGCGGACCUCAUAAAGUGCGUCGUAGUCCGGAUUGGAGUCUGCAACUCGACUCCAUGAAGUCGGAAUCGCUAGUAAUCGUGGAUCAGAAUGCCACGGUGAAUACGUUCCCGGGCCUUGUACACACCGCCCGUCACACCAUGGGAGUGGGUUGCAAAAGAAGUAGGUAGCUUAACCUUCGGGAGGGCGCUUACCACUUUGUGAUUCAUGACUGGGGUGAAGUCGUAACAAGGUAACCGUAGGGGAACCUGCGGUUGGAUCACCUCCUUACCUGAAAGAA